rnacentral:rRNA from 1 species
GACGAACGCUGGCGGCGUGCCUAACACAUGCAAGUCGAGCGAAGUGAGUACUACGGUACGAACUUAGCGGCGGACGGGUGAGUAACGCGUGGGCAAUCUACCCUGUAGACUGGGAUAACACCUCGAAAGGGGUGCUAAUACCGGAUAAUGUCGAGAAGCGGCAUCGCUUUUCGAAGAAAGGAGAGAAUCCGCUAUAGGAGGAGUCCGCGGCCCAUUAGCUAGUUGGUGAGGGUAACGGCCCACCAAGGCGACGAUGGGUAGCCGGCCUGAGAGGGUGAACGGCCACACUGGAACUGAGACACGGUCCAGACUCCUACGGGAGGCAGCAGUGGGGAAUAUUGUGCAAUGGGGGAAACCCUGACACAGCAACGCCGCGUGAGCGAAGAAGGCCUUCGGGUUGUAAAGCUCAAUAGUAUGGGAAGAUAAUGACGGUACCAUACGAAAGCCCCGGCUAACUACGUGCCAGCCGCCGCAGUAAUAC